UCAUGCAUAGAAUAUGUGGUCUUAAACUGCCAUUUACUUGAAAAAAGACGGGAAAUUUUAUAUUUAUAAAUAUAAAUGACAUUAAACGUAUAAUAUACAAAUUGAAGUAUGAAUAGUGUUUGAAUGUGAAUAGUGAAUGUAAAGUAGACAAUUAAAUAAAGUAAUUAUCAUGGAAACGCCAAAUUCAUUGGAUGUGUAGUAAUUUGUAAUACAAUGUUGCGACUAUGUACUAUUUGAUAGAAGAUCGCCAACCAUGAUACAGUUGAUGGACUUCAGCUCGUUAUGACUAGUUGUUGAAUCAGUUAAGGGGCCAGAAGUAUCUUAAAAUGGUCAUGUUAAAAACUUAGCAGUCACAGAGUAAAUUAAAUAUUAAAAAUAACAGAACCUUAAAAAAAAACAACUGACGAAUGAGUUCUUAUUAAUAUUUUAGAAAUAUGAACAACUUGUUAAUUACCAAUAAAGUUUUCAUUCAUUUAUACACA